AAAUUGUUUCAUUAUAAAUUUAUAAGUACUUUCCUCCUAACUAUCUUUUGCGCUCAUAGUCAAAAAGAGAGACAUUUCAAAGAUUCACUUAUUCAUUUCUUAAAUGGCUUUAAUCUUUCUUCCCUAACCAUUUCCUACAUCUUUUCAUCGUUCACAUUAUAUAUGUCCCUUUCAAUUUACUAUUCCACCUUCACUUUUCACCAGCUCCAUUAUGGCAAACUCUGUACCAAAUUUAGUAAAUAACUUUUCAAAAUUAAAGAAAAAGUAAACUUCAAAUCAUGGAAAGGAGAAGAUAACAACGAUGAAGUAUGAUUGCGAAUCUGCAACUUUUGGUGGAAUAAAGAAUGUGCCGGUGUUGAUGAACAAAGAGCAUGACGAGGAUCCAAAAAGCAUGGCGAGUAGGUACUGUUUAAUGGGACCUUUGUAGUAAUGUCUUGGGAUCAAAUUAAGAGACAUAUCUAGACCUAAUAAUUUCAUAUUAAUAGCAAAUGCUUUCAAAUAGGAGAUAAAACUUGAAGCAUUAACCUGAAACCAUCAGUAUAAAUACAUGGAGAAAUGAAUUACAUCAUAUUUUACUUCCCUAUGUUUCAAAAAAAUCAAUAGAAAAAAACUACUAUUAUGUUUUGUAUAUUAUUCCAAAACGAUAGCUUGGCAUACACGGAUCAAAGGUUAGGCAUCGUCUCCCUUCUCCCCUCGCUAAUUAGGGUUUUGUCUCCUUAAUUUCUUCUUUCCCUUUACCUUCUCAGAUACCCUAAUCAAACCUAAACGGGAAAUACUGGACUCAUUUGAACUACAAAUUCGCUUAUUUGAAAAAUAAAAUUUGAAUACUCCAUGUUUAUUGUUUUCUAAUAUUAAUAAUUUGUUUUAUGUCAAGAUAAAAUUUAGACUAUGGCCCGAUCUAGCCCGACAAAAACUAUGUAUGGGCCUGAUUUUCUUUUCACAUCAAGGGAUCAUCCAAGACCAAAGAGAAUAAAUAUUGUGGUUUCUAAUGAUGAGAAAGCUUUGCUGCAUUCAUCAUUGCACAUGUGAAAAUCAAUCACAUGAAUGAAAGACUCUCGUGACGACAAAACAAGUAAAGAAGUUUGCAUUAAUGUCAUGUUUUUUCCUCUUAUUAAUAUCAGAAAACCAUCACAUCACAUCCCCUAUCAAUACACACACACAAGCUUUUAGAUCCAAGUGUCUCUCGUCUCAAAACCAAAGAAA